rnacentral:piRNA from 1 species
GACUACUCCUGACUUGUUCAC